AUAAUCGCUCCUUGUAAGUCGCUCUGGAUAAGAGUGUCUGCUAAAUGACAAUAU
rfam:Salmo salar isolate Sally breed double haploid chromosome ssa12, whole genome shotgun sequence.